UACGUAGGGGGCAAGCGUUGUCCGGAUUCAUUGGGCGUAAAGAGCGUGUAGGCGGCCAGGUAGGUCGGUUGUGAAAACUGGAGGCUCAACCUUCAGACGUCGACCGAAACCAUCUGGCUAGAGUCCGGGAGAGGAGAGUGGAAUUCCUGGUGUAGCGGUGAAAUGCGCAGAUAUCAGGAGGAACACCGGUGGUGUAGACGGCUCUCUGGACCGUAACUGACGCUGAGACACGAAAGCGUGGGUAGCAAACAGG
rnacentral:rRNA from 1 species